rnacentral:rRNA from 1 species
UACGUAGGGUGCGAGCGUUGUCCGGAAUUAUUGGGCGUAAAGAGCUUGUAGGUGGCUCGUUGCGUCGGGAGUGAAAACCUGCGGCUUAACCGCAGGCCUGCUUCCGAUACGGGCGAGCUAGAGUUCGGCAGGGGAGACUGGAAUUCCUGGUGUAGCGGUGGAAUGCGCAGAUAUCAGGAGGAACACCGGUGGCGAAGGCGGGGUCUC